rnacentral:rRNA from 1 species
GAUGAACGCUAGCGGGAGGCCUAACACAUGCAAGCCGAGCGGUAUUUGUCAUUCGUGACAGAGAGAGCGGCGUACGGGUGCGUAACACGUGUGCAACCUGCCUUUAUCUGGGAGAUAGCCUUUCGAAAGGAAGAUUAAUACCCCAUAAUAUAUAGAUUGGCAUCGAUUUAUAUUGAAAGCUUCGGCGGAUAGAGAUGGGCACGCGCAAGAUUAGAUAGUUGGUGAGGUAACGGCUCACCAAGUCGAUGAUCUUUAGGGGUCCUGAGAGGGAGAUCCCCCACACUGGCACUGAGACACGGACCAG